rnacentral:rRNA from 1 species
UACGUAGGGUGCGAGCGUUGUCCGGAUUUAUUGGGCGUAAAGAGCUCGUAGGCGGUUUGUCGCGUCGGCCGUGAAAUCUCCACGCUUAACGUGGAGCGUGCGGUCGAUACGGGCAGACUUGAGUUCGGUAGGGGAGACUGGAAUUCCUGGUGUAGCGGUGAAAUGCGCAGAUAUCAGGAGGAACACCGGUGGCGAAGGCGGUCUGCUGGGCAGUUGCUGACACUGAGGCGCGACAGCGUGGGGAGCAAACAGG